GUCUACGGCCAUGCCACCCUUAAUGUGCCCGAACUUGUCUGAUCUCGGAAGCAAAGCAGAGUUGGGACUGGUUAGUACUUGAAUGGGAGACCACCUAGGAAUACCAGGUGCUUUGUAAUCA
ensembl:rRNA 5S_rRNA 5S ribosomal RNA